GUGAGUGCGACACCCCGCCGAGGGAAGGUCGCCGAGUGAGGCCGAGGGAAGGUCGCCGAGUGAGGCCGAGGCCGCGUUGGGGGCUCCCUGGAAACGGCCCCCUAGCCUUUCUCGCAUCGGUGGUGGCAGUCGUUCCUGCCUGGGGGCGGGAGGUCCAGGAUCCUUGUUCCGGUUACUGUUGGCGGGUGGAGGACAUUUUUCCUCCAGAUGGCUGCUUCCCCCACCCCUGAACCGUCCCUUGGCUUCCCCAUGCGGGAAAUCCUACUUUUACCCCUUUGGCUGUCUGGGCUACUCGCCUCUUUCGGUAACUUCACCCUAGGCCUUAAGAUCCCGGUAGCUGCUCGCCAUGCGGCGCCCUGAAGCGUGAACCUUCGUGGGUCGCCUCUCGGCUGCUUGGGCGCUUCGGUUCUGUUGCUCUGUGGUCCCGGGGCCAGGCCCUGAGUCGAGUGCACGUGUGGUGGGUGCCGCCAGGUGCCUGGCGGAGCUCCUGGGAGAGCCCCACGCGGACCUCGCCAUGAGCGGCAGGUACUGCUAGGCAACUAGAAGGAAGCCAUGCCCACGCCGAAACAUACUUCCCUCUUCAGUGUCUGGGUUUCUUGAGUGUGGGUACUUCCAGUCCGCCUCCUAAUUCCAGUCUCUUGAAAACACGGGAGGUUGCCAAAACUCAGCUGCUUCCCUGGCAGCGAGGAGGAGUUACCAUUGAGCAGGUAGUUCCGCACGUGUCGACUUUGGAAAGAUACGGACAUUUUCUGUGUUCCAUGUUCAACUUCAGGCAACCUGCUUCUGCAAAGUGGUACGAUCGAAGGGACUACGUCUUCAUUGAAUUUUGUGUUGAAGACAGUAAGGAUGUUAAUGUAAAUUUUGAAAAAUCCAAACUUACAUUCAGUUGUCUCGGAGGAAGUGAUAAUUUUAAGCAUUUAAAUGAAAUUGAUCUUUUUCACUGUAUUGAUCCAAAUGAUUCCAAGCAUAAAAGAACGGACAGAUCAAUUUUAUGUUGUUUACGAAAAGGAGAAUCUGGCCAGUCAUGGCCAAGGUUAACAAAAGAAAGGGCAAAGCUUAAUUGGCUUAGUGUCGACUUCAAUAAUUGGAAAGACUGGGAAGAUGAUUCAGAUGAAGACAUGUCUAAUUUUGAUCGUUUCUCUGAGAUGAUGAACAACAUGGGUGGUGAUGAGGAUGUAGAUUUACCAGAAGUAGAUGGAGCAGAUGAUGUAAGUCUAAAAAUUUUUUUCUGUUUACUUUCAUACUAUUAAAUAGUAAGAAACAACAUAUUUACAAAUGGUUUUAUAUAGAUUCACGAUUACUUUGUAUUUUCUAAAAAAAAAAAAAAAAAACAAAGGGAAAAGCAAUUUUUAAAAUGUGCCCAUUUUUGAGGAAUGGGUAUCAGGGAACUGGUUGUACUGUAGACCAUUCCUAAAUGGAUUAGAUUUCCAAAGAAUCAUUGUAUAGAGACAUUAUAUAUUAAUACCGUACUCAAUUACAACAGUCAGUUUAGGCUGGGCGAGGUGGCUCAUGUCUGUAAUCCCAGCAGGCCAGGUGGGCGGAUUACCUGAGGUCAGGAGUUCGAGACCAGCCUGGCCAACAUGGUGAAACCCUGUCUUAAAAAAAUUAGCCAGGCAUGAUGGCAGGUGCCUGUAAUCCCAGCUACUGGGGAGGCUGAGGUGGGAGAAUCGCUUGAACCUGGGAGGCGGAGGUUGCAGUGAGCCAAGAUCACACCAUUGUACUCCAGCGUGGGCAGCAGAGCGAGGCUCCAUCUCAAAAAGAAAGAAAAGAGUCAUUUUAUAGGAUUCACAAGACAGUGAUGAUGAAAAAAUGCCAGAUCUGGAGUAAGGAAUAUUGUCAUCACCUGGAUUUUGAGAAAGAAAAAUAACUUCUUUGCAAGAUUUCAUAAUUGAGAGAAUUCCUGAGUUGAUAGCUCUAAAGGCAGAUGCUGUAUUUGCCUACUUUAACCCAUUUUUCAACCUGUUUGUUUUUUAAAAGGCUUCACUAAGGGUUGAUAUGUACCAUUGUAUGGGGCAAUUUUAAGUCAGCUAAGGCAAUAACCUUAUGCAUGAACAUUUCCCAGACUUUCAUGAAGCUGUUGAGGUCCUAGGCAAUUAAUGCAGCAGUUGUGAUAAAUAAAAACAUCUCACCUAAGUCUCCUUUUUUUCAUAACAUAGAUACUGACAUGAUAGGAAGCUCUCAGCUUAGGGAAAGAGAAUAAAUUUUAGAUUAUAGAACAUGGAUUCAAAAGUUGCUGGAACAAAUUGGCUGACACCUUACUGGUAACCUGCUAUUCCUCUGGUGUUAUCCUUCAGGAUUGUUCCACUAAAAUUUAUUUUUCAAAAGAUUUACUUCACAUUAUUCUAUGUAAGUGAUCACUUGUCAGUGUUCCAGGUGUAUCUUAGCUAAAACUAGAGAAUGCCCUAACUUAGAUGGUUUUUGAAGCCUGUACAUUUGGUAUCGUUUGACCCUUAAGCUUUUACAUCUCUUAGCAUGGAGGACGAAGAAAGCUGUACAUUGUUGCUUGAGAGUCUGUACAUUUAGUCCAGAUUUGUAUUUGCACUGUCAGUAUGGCAAAUGAGUGAAAAAUGUUUAAUACACUAUUGGAUUUUUUAUUUCUCUUUUUGAUUCAGCUUAUACCAGGGCUGAAAACCUCAAUUUAUGUUCAUGACAGUGGGGAUUUUUUUAAAUGUCUACAUUCUUUCUAAUAAACUGUUGGAAGACUUCUUGGCUGUCCUUUUAAGUGUCUGGCUUACUGUAAUUUUUAUGUAUUUACCAUUUACUGGAAUGGAGUUUAUUUGAGGAAGAAUUUGGGAUUAUUCCUCUGUUUGAAAAAGAGGCUUGCUGUAAUGUCACAGGAAACCUUUUAAAAGUGUAUCUGUAAUAGCAUAUUGUAGAUGCACUUUGCAGCAGUUGGAAAAGAAAGUGUUGUGAUUUGAUUGAAAUAAAACUAAAUGUGUUGUCCUCCUCUAAAUCUUUGAA
rnacentral:sRNA from 1 species